UUCAGUAAAGGAAUAUGGCCAGAUACCCAGAUAUAAAUUGCAUUACAAUACAAAACUAUGUUACAAGUUAUCAAAUAUCCAGAUAAAUUUCUUUCUUUUUUUCUUUCUGUCAUUAAAUUUGCGAUGUCAUUAAUACAUGAAAAGUAUAUUGACUUACAAGGAGACCUCUGUAUUUGGAAGGUACACUCCAGUCAAUGAGACACAUAUUGCUACAAAAAUUAUCCUGUGAAAAAUAUUGGAGUCAUUCCUUUGGACAAAAAAAGUUUUCACUAAUCUUGAUAUCACCUGGAAUACAAUGAUGAAAAUUGAAAAACUGAUUUGGAACCCAUACAAAUAACCAUAGAAUCAACGUAAAUAUCCAUUCAUGUACCCCUACUAAAUCCCGACUUGGAUGCAUUGACUGUGGAUGACCUUCAAUUUAUAACUUCCGGAGAUCAGAGUGCAAAACACCCUUCCUGGAACAGCAGCUUACAAAUAAAUCAGGCAGGAUAUUACACAAACCCAUAGAAACAUCCAACUCAUACACUAUUUGCCCAAUAGACUCACGUACUCAUCAUUCUUACAAUCCAAAAAAUCUUGACAUCGCCCUAGUAAACUUUAAAGACCGUGACUGCUUCAUAACAAAUCACAAUGAACUAUCUUCUGACCAUAACCUCAUAGCAUUCUCAAUCUACGACUCCAUUACAACAUCCAGCCCUCCAAAAGUGAGGAAAAGGAUCAACUGGAAAAAAUUCACUGAAGAACUUCUGAGAAACCUCCUUAAUAUUAACAAUCAUAUCACAAACUCCGCAGAUAUUUACUACGAAAUAUUAUCAAACAAAACAACGCAUACACCGCUAACCACUCUCUAAAAUCUUAGCCAAUAAUACCUAACAUAGAACAAGAAAUCAACACCUGGACACAUCAGGAACCUUACCAGCUGAAGCAAAACGCAACAGGAAACAAAGACCCAACAAUUUUAUAAAUUUAUAAUUUAAUCACCAUAAACAACUUCACACUUCACUCAUCAUCCCAAACAGCAUCAAAUAACUAAAUUUCAACCCAACCUAGGCAAUGAGCAAUAGACAUAGGCCU